AUUGAACGCUGGCGGCAUGCUUUACACAUACAAGUCGAACGGUAACAGGCCUUCGGGUGCUGACGAGUGGCGAACGGGUGAGUAAUGCAUCGGAACGUACCCAGAGGUGGGGGAUAACGCAGCGAAAGCUGUGCUAAUACCGCAUGUGAUCUGAGGAUGAAAGCGGGGGACCGAGCAGCAAUGUUUGGCCUCGCGCCUUUGGAGCGGCCGAUGUCGGAUUAGCUAGUUGGUGGGGUAAAGGCCUACCAAGGCGACGAUCCGUAGCUGGUCUGAGAGGACGACCAGCCACACUGGGACUGAGACACGGCCCAGACUCCUACGGGAGGCAGCAGUGGGGAAUUUUGGACAAUGGGCGCAAGCCUGAUCCAGCAAUGCCGCGUGCGGGAAGAAGGCCUUCGGGUUGUAAACCGCUUUUGGCAGGAACGAAACGGUGUCCGCUAAUACCGGGCGCUAAUGACGGUACCUGCAGAAUAAGCACCGGCUAACUACGUG
rnacentral:rRNA from 1 species